UGAUUUCUUUCGUUUGAGGAACGAAUUAGACAGAAAUCAAUUUCUACUCGGUGUGAUAAUAAAUUACUUUUUCGGAAUUACAAGGUUUUCAUUCGAAUACCUGGUGUAUAUCACGUGGUUCUUUAGAACCGGUCUCGUUAGCAAGGCUAUAUAGAGGUGAAUAGUGGUUUAAAUACCAGUUUAGGACGACACGUAGAGCACGAUAAAGUUUAAAUCUCAGAUACAGAACGAAGUGGCGUAGGGCGUGGUUCAUCGACAUGUUUAGCCAUUGUAGAUGAUAUGAAAUCACAGAAAAUAGAGUUGGAGAGAGAUUUGACAGUGUGGAAAGCGAGGUCAUCAAAGAAAAGCCAUCAUAGAUCUUGUUUUUAUAAGAUAAUUACAUGUUGGGGUUGGUAUCACGAUGAGUAUAAUGAAGAAGGUGAUUUUAAGAUCUCCAGAGAAGUACGGUAGAUUUUUUCUUUGCGUUUUAUGCCAAUUAAAAGUUAAAUUUCAUGCGGACUCCAUCACAAUGGAAAAGAGAAGCAUUUCAUAUUCUGAUUUGUAUUAUUGGUUAUAUUCUUCUUACGUUUAAUUCAAGCACCAUGAGGUAUUAAUCGGUGUACCAAUAAUGACAGAGUUUCAAAGAGGCACAUAUCCAAGGAAUUGAGAUGGGAUUCAAGAUGUUUCACAGGAAUGUGUAUUUUGUGCUAUUUUGAUAUUGGAUGAUGAAUAUACUUCUAUGUAUUAUGUCGAUUUGAUUUGAUAUAUUUGAAGUCUUCUUCCCUGGGACUUCACGAUAAAUCGUAUGGUAUGCGUUGAGUUUGACUUGAAACUAUACUCAAAAUUCAAGUGCAGCAAGCAUUUAUCGAUGUAUGGAUAGGAUGUGUGCAUAACAUCAAGACUUUUACAAUCAGACUCACAUGGUGAAUUGCGUUAUGGAUUUUCAAAAGACGGCGGUGUAUUUUUAUUUUUUAGGAUGGAUAUACAUGUAUUGAUAUUUUCCCGCGUUUCGCUAGUAUAGUGAGAAAAUGUUGUAUUAAU